GUUUGCUAACGUUAGGAAAUUUUUAGUUUCACUUUUAAUUUUAAAACAGGGGCGCUCCUUCCUUCUCUCAGACUCUUACAUACAAUUCCUCUCUUCCUUUCCCAUGAAUAGUGGCUCAAGUACCAAGGGCUAUUCCUCUCUCAUCUCUGUCAACAUCGUGGAAGUUCACUGUGCGGCCACCUUGCUGUGGUUGGUUCAGUUCCUUCUCUGAUGCUGUAUUGGUAUUCGUUCAAAACGAAACCGAUCUAGCCCAAAUGAAAACGAAAGCCCUUCCAGACUCUUCUUUGUAUGGUCCUUAUCAAGCUCUUUCCUCUUCUAAUCCAUUGCUCCAAGCCUCAUUCACGGGUAUACCAUCCGUAAAGGCAUAAACGAGAGGCUUUGUUGAGGCCCAUGCUGAUGAUGGUUUACUAGAAAUAUUUGGCCUAAAGCAAGGGUGGCAUGCAUCUUUUGUUAAUGUUGAACUCAUCUUUGCCAAACACAUUGCUCAGGUGUAGUAUCAAAAGAUUACCUGAGUGGUAUGUUGUUCCUCCAACAAGGAUGAUAUUGCUUGCUCCAAGAUUCAAGCAAUGAAAGGGAGAAGUUCAGACUUUAGAGAAGCAAAAUGAGCAGAGGUGGAGAGAAAGGUUUCACAACUACAAAAAUCUAGAAGGAUAUUUCAAUGGAUAGCUGAAAAAUAAGUCUGAUGAUGCUUUCAUUUGUGGAUACAAUUAUACUUUCUACAUUGAAGCCUUGCUGCCCAGCUUUCUUUUAGGAAUCCUUUGUUUUUACUUUUCGGUUUUCAUCUAGCGAAGUGAAUUUAUUUUUAGAUUGCUUUAGUUUGAAAGAAACUACUUUUUGUACUUGCAGAUUUACUCAAAUUUGACUUGGAGCCCAUGUAAAGUUAUGUACUAAUUUUAUAUGCUUAGUUUCUUUUCCCCAAGGAUUA